UAUGUAAAUUAAGCUCACUUGUUUUUUUUUCCUUGUAGAGAUUAUAGAGAUACAGGCAUAGCUACACAAUGUCUUCCGAUGGAGGAAUACCAGAAGCGAAAAGAUGCAUAUCUUGGAUAAUAACUUACAUUUACCAAAAGUAACGCAUAUCUGAAUGAUGAACCGGAAACUAUAAUACCAUUCAAUAAAUCCUUCGAUGUCAACUGAAUCGCUUUAAAAAAUAAAUGCAAUUAAUACAUUAGAAUUAAAUUUUAAAAAAUCUAGAUAUGUAAUAAACUUAAACACUUAACAACACA
rnacentral:sRNA from 1 species